AGCUCGUUGGUCUAGGGGUAUGAUUCUCGCUUAGGGUGCAAGUGGUCCUGGGUUCAAAUCCCAGACGAGCCC
rnacentral:tRNA from 1 species